AUACAUAUGCACAUGUGUGUACAUACAUACAUAUACACACAAAAAUAUGUGUGCCUUUUUCACCUUUAGAUCGCCCUUUUCUAACACCUUUUCUGCGGCUCGAUUCCAAGACAGGGCUGCCGCUGCGUUGUCGGCAAGUAAAAAGCGAACAAAUGAACGCCGAACGAUUAUUUAAGGCCAAUAUCUCUAAUUACGGUUCUGACACAUAAC
rnacentral:lncRNA from 1 species